rnacentral:misc_RNA from 1 species
GUUCACUACCUGGUAAAUCUUUAUCUUCUAAAACACGUGCCUCGUGCUCAACAGAGUCCUGGUUGCUCUCGCAGAAACCAUUGAGAACCUUCACACAAGCCAAAGGUGCUGAAUGGGAAGUACAUAGAGUCGAUGCACCCAUGACCAUCCACAACUGAUUCGAUGAAGAGGCAGCUGCUAAGCUUGUGGGAAUAAAAGUCUCCCCAGGAAUCGGAACCACUCUUGCAACAUGGAGAGAUUUAGCUGAAAGGUUGCAACUCAAAAGCAUGACGCCUGCCAAGCUCUGAAUAGCCACCGCGAUUAGAGAUCCCCAAGGAGUGGCACAAAGAUCAGUGACAGCCAGCAACCUGUCAUCUAUUCCUUCUUUUGACUGUAAUAGUCCUGUCUCUCCAACAUGACAGGUAUCAAGAAGAGAACCACAAGUGAAGUCCCACAAGCGUACAGUUGAAUCACCACCUCCUGAAAGCAAAUACCACUGCUGGGAAUCCUGGUUGCAGAUGAAGGCAAGGCAGGAAACAAACUCUGAAUGGCCAAGGCAAAAACUUUGAAUCUCAUGAGCCCCAUCUGAUGGCUUUUCUGGGAACACAGAGACUCGGAUUUUGAAGUCCCGAUCGGCACUAAUAAUGUAACGUCCAUCUGGUGAAAACUCCAGACUAGUAAUGAUGCUGCAGUAGUGGGCGAGAAUUGGGACUGCCUUCUUAUUGGGCACACUUUGAUUUUCAUGAGAACCUUCUAUUUCAACUGCAUAAAUUACACCAAAUUUAUCCGCGAAGGAUACAAAACGCCCAUCAUUACUG